CCUUUCCGAUCGUUCCUAAAACCCUAAUUUGGUUAUGUGUAUAAAUUUGCAGGAUUCAUGGGAGCAAUGAAUUCUCUCUGGUUCUUUCUAUAAACAUCUCUUGCUGCUGGAUCCCUUAUUAUGUUGAUUUCCUGGGCUACAAAAGUUGCUGAAGCACCUAAUACUGAUAUGGAGUUCUGGAAAUCUUUGUUCCCUGUUGUAUUGGCUCAUAAAAUUGGUCAUGUAGCAGCAACUGUGAGUAUGUCAAAGCUUGCUGUUUCUUUCACACACAUAAUCAAAAGUGUGUUCAUCGAGAUUAUGCUAUAGAAGUUGAUAG